GGGUCUAGAAUCCACACUUUUUACCACUAACCCUCACCACCUCUCAAGACAGACAUUCAGGCCAAAUGUGGUGGCUCACACCUGUCAUACCAGCACUUUGGGAGGCUGAGGCAGGAGAAUCACUUGAGUCCAGGAGUUCAAGACCAGACUGGGCAACAUAGUGAGACCCCAUCUAUAAAAAAGAAAAAUAAUUAUUAUCAAAGCCAGGGCAGUUACCCGCUGGUCACAUCCCAUCAUCACUCCACUCCUCCAGUCCUCUCCAACAAAUUCAAAAUCCAUUUUAUGAAAUGGAGGGCUACUCCAUACAUCCAGGGAUCUGUUUACAAACCCUGCAUCCACUAUUUCAUUCCAUUCCAAUAAAUAUUAAAUAACAAGAAACACUGAGGUGUAUUCUAUGUACUGCAGGCAUUUGUUAAGACCUCAGUUUCUAGACAGGGCUAGUAGGUGGAGGCUGGGGAGUGUGGAGAAAGUG
rnacentral:lncRNA from 1 species